rnacentral:lncRNA from 1 species
AAGAUAGGUGGGACUAAGAGACAAGGGGAAUUCUGGGAAAUGUAGUAAAGAGAAGUCUUGUGAUCCAGGCAGGAAGUGAUGUAGCAGGCAGUAACAGUAUAUAAACAAGAACAAACAGGAAAUCACUCUCUUUUCCUUUUCUCUUCUCUGCGGAGAUGCUGAGCAGAUGCGAUGUAGACCCCAACGGAGUAAGAGGCCCGGGACCUUAUGUCCAGUAAGAUAAAGCCACGUGGAAAUACUUACAUUAUUAGAAUUGGGUUAAUAAUCAAGACUUAGCUAGCAAAUAAGAAACCUUAGCUAAAGGCCAACAGUAUUUGUAACUAAUAUAGCAUCUGCAUGUUUUCUUUUGGCCAGAGAAGGGUAGCGGGACCUAGCUGGGCCAGAGAAAACCUCAUGUUACACACAAUAACACUAAAAGCCAUGUUGUGUUUUCAGGAACUUUAGUGCAAGAGUAACAGGUGAACAACAAACAUGAAAUCACAGCACUGCCCACAGCACUACCCUGAGCCAUAGGAACAACUGUGCACACUUCCUUCAUUUCUGGUGGUCACGAUUGUAUUUAAGUCAUUUGUUGUAACUGUCCAUUUCAAAUCCUGAGUACUGUGACGGCAGGACCACACCAUGGCAACAUCUUGAGGUCAACUCUGGGCCCCCUACACCGGGAUAAGUAAACAAAAGCCUUCCAGCCCUCUUCCCCUACAGUGCUUCCGCCCAGCAAUUUCUGUGAGUCCCAGUAUUCCUUGGGUAAGGUUGCUUGGUAAUACAGACUGUCAAAUUAAAUUUGAAUUUCAAAAACACAGCAGACAUUUUUGAAUGUAUCUCAAAUGCUGUAGAGAAGGAACCUCACACCUUUUGUUUUCACUUUCAGAACUUGGCAGCCUUAUUCUUGGAGCUGUGAUAUGUUGAGAACCCUAACAGCAUGGAUACAUCAUUGGAAGUAUAAAAUACAGGAGAAAAGUUCAUUGGAAGAACGAUACACGAUCUUCUCUCCCCCUCAGUGAAGGGUGUCACACGGCAUUCUGGCCACAGCCCUCUCCCCUGUGUUCCAGUCAACAAAGUGGUUUGUCCAAAGAAGAGGACUCAGCAGUCAAAAUUAGUCAUGUGACCUGCCUCCUCCCAACUACACAAGCUAGAGUGGUCCUAACCAUACUCUUUCAAUGACAAAGAAUUGGAAUGAAGAGACCUGGGAUGACUAACAAGAAGGGGAUCAGCCUCUUAGAAGUUGCUUUUAUCAAGAAGUCAAUGACCGCUCACUGAGGUCCACAAACAAUUAAAAGCUGGGUGAAAGCCUGGAAUAUCUACUUCAGUUUGCUCCCUUUGGCCACCACCAUCCCUCUUCAAGUGGGCAUGGCGACCACUUAGGGAGCCCCUGUGGAGGCACUGGAGAUAGCCAGCCUAUUUCAUUCUGCUUCAGGGUUGAUGGCAUGAAGAACCAAUGUUCUCAAACAGCAUUUCCAAAAAUUGGCUAAACACAUUAUGGGGACAGUGGAAAACAUGAAGCAUGCUUUUGGACUUUAUGCGUAAGAAUUUGAAAACAGAUAUAUCAAAAUGUCUGGAAAAAUGAUAUUUUGAUAUAUUUCUCACUCUUAUGUCUUCAGUCGACAUAAAUAAGCCACCUGCCAGUUUUCAAUAGAAUUUGUAGAGCUGCAAACUGGCAUCCAAGUUAAAGAAUUUGCUCAUGUCCCUUUACUAAUUUUUCAUAGGUCCUGUCUUCCCCAGAGCAACGGCCUUGACUUAACAAUCAUUAUGUGUGUUUUCACUUAACGAGCAUUUGUGGGUGACUAUUUUCAAGA